ensembl:lncRNA
GCUCUACCCAUGCUCUCUCUAUUCUGCAUAUCAACUGAAGGAGUGGACAUUGUGAUGAUUGUACCCAUUCUACAGAUGAGGAAACCGAGACUCAGAGAGGGGAGGACUCAUGUCCAAAGUUACACAGCCAAGGCAUGAGAACCUGGGGCUCUGGGGCUCCAGACCCGCUUCUGUCCCCUCCUUCACAUUGCCUAUGCUUGUCACCUGCUUCUCGCCCUGGUAGCGAGAGGAGGACUUAGGGAUGCAAUGGCCAUGUUGCGUUUCCUUCUGGUUGGCUGGCAGAGGAUAAGGAAGAAGGCUAAGGAUGCUGAGAGAUAAUUCAAGGACAGCAUAGCUCUUUGGGCUUGUAGAUUCUGUCUGGUACAACCAACAUUUCUGAGACUAGCACCGAGCCAGGCGCAGGGCAUAUGGAGGCAGGAAAUUGCAGCUGGGUGUGAGAGAGGGCCAGGACCCAGUUGCCUCUGAUGGCAGAGGAAAUGGUGGGGUUGUCCCAGGAGUUCAGGUCAAGCGCAGCUCAGGGGUGCAGGUACUUGCAAAUCUUUUGCCUUGGGCAGCCUGUUUACCUCACAGACCUCAGUUUCUACUGCUGUGAAAUGGGUCGAUAGUGCCGGCAGCAGAAGGGUGGGGUGCCAAGGGGCCUUGAUCCAUCCCCAACAGAUCACCGCUGUCUCCUAGGACAGGAAAAGCCUGAGACCGAGCAAUCGUAGAUGUUCUGGAAUCGUGGAACCUCCUGGACACGUGGGGAAAACAUGAAUUUUUUCCGAACGCUUUCCAUCUGCUUUUCACAUCCACAGAAGCUCUCAGCCCCCUGAUAAGUGCCUGGAACAGAGGAGGUGCUCAAAUAUUGGUUGAAGAAAUGAAUACACAAAUGGUUUCAUCUCUGGCUAUCCGGAGGUUUCGAAUCUUAUGUUUUGGUCCGUGUGAAUCCAGCUCAAAGUCUCCUCAGUACCAUUCAGAUCAAACCCUGAGUCCUUCGUAAGGCCUGUGAGUUUCUGGGUGAUCUGGCCCUGCCACCGUCCCUCUCCAGCCUUGCUUCUGUCCUUCCCACUUGCCCCUCCCCCUGCCCCCAGACUGCCACCCCCAGGGCGCCGUACAUGGUAGAUGUCCCCAGCCACCCCUCCUGCACCCCACUGUAAGUUGUGCCAGGAGAGUUGUUGUUGUUUUUUUC